AAUACCUGGACGCUUAAUUUCACAAUGAAAUCGGGGGAACCAAUCUUCUGCGGCAUACAGCCGCUUGGGGUGAAUCCAUCUGAAAAGGUGGCAGGGCAGCUCUCAUAGCCCGAAUCCGACAGCUAACCCCGAAAGCGCAGUGAGGGAAAUC
rnacentral:sRNA from 2 species